rnacentral:lncRNA from 1 species
AUGAACCAUAAAGCCCGGACCGUGGCGGGUAUGAAAGAACAAGAAAGGCGGGAUCAGGAAAUUCAACAGGACGAAGUUGCCUUCCCACCUAGCUCUCUUCUCUUUGCUGAGCCAUACAAAACUACUAGCAAGGAAGAUAAGUUAUCGAGUUGUAUCCAGAGUAGGCUUGGAAACUAUGGUGAAAUGAAAGAUUUUAUAGGAGACAAAUCUAUACCAAGGCUUAUUGCAGUUUCCAAGCCUACGGUACCACCUAUAACAGAUGAAAAUGGACCCCAGUAGGACCUCUGCACCCAGCAUUUCUGUCCCAGAAACAGUCCUCAGGCUUACAGAGUGGACAUAGUAGCCAGUAGACCGGUGCAGGUGGCAGCAGUGGCACUAACAGUCGUGGCCAGAGACAUGACUGUGACUCACAUAGCAGUAGUGGGAGCAGAAGACCAGAGAAAAAUGUCAGCAUGGAUCACAGCACUCCAAGCCGCGCUCUUCCAGCCCUGGGAAACCCCAGGCUGUCUCUUCGUUAAGCUCCAGUCAUUCCAGCUCUCAUGGGAAUGAUCAGCAUAGCAAGGAAUAUCAGCGCUCCAAAUCACCUGGGGACCCUAAUGCAAACGGGGAUUCUCCCUCUCACGUAUCUUUUCCAAGUGGGCAGCACUCAAAUCAGUCUUUCCCACCUUCGUUGAUGUCAAAGUUCAGUUCAAUGUUACAGAAACCUAUUGCCUGUGUGCAGCCCGUGGGCGGACAGGAGUCCGUGGGCGGACAGGAGUCUGUGGAACCAGAGCUGUCCUCUGAGCGCUACAGUAGCCAAUCCCAUGGUGACAGCACAAAUGAGCUGCAGCCCAGCAGCAAAGCACAUCUCGCCAGGCUGAAAAUACCUUUCUAACCGCUGGACCUAAGU